rnacentral:rRNA from 1 species
GUGCCAGCCGCCGCGGUAAUACGGAGGAUGCGAGCGUUAUCCGGAUUUAUUGGGUUUGAAGGGUGCGUAGGCUGUAAUUUAAGUCAGUGGUGAAAUGUACGGGCUUAACCGGUGAUAUGCCAUUGAUACUGGAUUGCUGGAAUACGGAUGCGGUAUGCGGAAUGUGUAGUGUAGCGGUGAAAUGCAUAGAUAUUACACAGAACACCGAUUGCGAAGGCAGCAUACCAAGGCGGGAUUGACGCUGAAGCACGAAAGUGUGGGGAUCGAACAGGAUUAGAUACCCUGGUAGUCCACACAGUAAACGAUGAUAACCAGCUGUCGGCGAUAUAUAGUCGGUAGUGAAGCGAAAGCGAUAAGUUAUCCACCUGGGGAGUACGACCGCAAGGUUGAA